rnacentral:lncRNA from 1 species
UCGAGCCUUUUAAGCUCCUUAAUGUCCUUGAUCAAUAUCAAAUAAUAAUUAUAGACUGACUGCCCAUCACGUAUCAGAUGCGCUGUGUGACUCUGAUCACCUCACAAUACUUGCAGAUGAAUCAACACGUUAUAGGCAGUGAACAUGUGCUCAUACAUAGCACCUAUCUUAAUUAUCAUUAUCCAUCCACUCAUCAAGUA